GGACCAGGGUUGGGAAGCACUGUUCAAGGCAAACAAAACAUGCAGAGGAUUUCUGUCAGCUGUCCAGUGAUCGCCAGCUACAGGUGGGAGAGGGAACAACUACAACUUUUAUUCUCCAGAGCAACAAAUAAUCCAUGCUAAUGUCUAAUGGUGGAAUCAUGGUGUCAAACGGAUCAGCAGAGACCCUGUCUAACAGUUUAAACUAAUUUGUUUAGAGGCCCAGAGAAGCACCUGUCUACACAGAAGAAUGCUGAGGACCAGAAUCAAAGCAGUGCAGAUUUUCUCUUUUCUGUCUUUGCCGGUGUCCCUGCAGGGCUGUGAGCCAUGACUGAUAACCCUGAGGAAGAGCAAACUAUUUAAAUUGKGCCGGUCUCCUCCUCCUCUCUAUAUGCGCUUCCUCACUCUGAGCAGCUCUGGUGUCCAUUAAUCAUUUUCUUGAUGUUGGCCUGUUAUUUAACCGUUCCAAGCUAAUCUGUACCUCAUACACCCUGUUUCAACAAGGCUGCUAAAACUUUUUAAUAACGCUGACAGCAGCUCUGACAUUUGAUGGAUUAUGGAGAAAAUUUCAAAGGUGAUGGAGAGAGGCAGAGGCAAGAGGAAGCAUGCUCUUUCACAGCGCUGCAAGCAGAAAUCCAUUCAGUGUGAUUAUGAAAGCUCCAUCACAUGACAGCCUGAGCACUUAAUCCUUGUUAACACUGCACUUAAAGACAGGACUGUUCUGAAUGGAAGGCAGAUACAAAAGGUGUGUAAUAUCAAGGCUCUGCUGAAUUUCAGUAAUUUACCACUAUGUGCUGUACUUUUGGUAUUCAAUUUUAAUUUUUCAACUCCCUUUUUGUGUCUGAAUCUGUUUCAUCUUGAAUGGUCCUGUACAUGAAAUGUGUUUAUUCAAAUUAAACUGAAUUGCCUAAGAAAAAGAGCCUAUACUGCUCCAACAUGCU